GCCGGAGUUGCCAAGCCUGGUCAAAGGCGAUGGACUCAAGAUCCAUUCCCGAAGGGGUUCACCGGUUCGAAUCCGGUCUCCGGCACCA
rnacentral:tRNA from 1 species